UGGGGAAUAUUGCACAAUGGAGGGAACUCUGAUGCAGCGACGCCGCGUGAGCGAAGAAGGUCUUAGGAUCGUAAAGCUCUGUCCUUGGAGAAGAAAAGAAUGACGGUAUCCAAGGAGGAAGCCCCGGCUAACUACGUGCCAGCAGCCGCGGUAAUACAGAGACUGCAAGCGUUACUCGGAUUCACUGGGCGUAAAGGGAGCGCAGGCGGAAUCGUGUGUCGGAUGUGAAACCCGGGGGCUCAACUCCCGGACUGCGUCUGAAACUGCGAUUCUAGGGACUCAGAGGGGCCAGUGGAAUUCUUGGUGGAGCAGUGAAAUGCGUAGAUAUCAAGAGGAACACCAACGGCGAAGGCAGCUGGCUGGACGAGAUCCGACGCUCAGGCUCGAAAGUAUGGGGAGCAAAAA
rnacentral:rRNA from 1 species